rnacentral:lncRNA from 13 species
UGAAAGAGAAGCUGUCUUAGUCCAUCAGGCUGCUAUAAGAGAAUACCAGAACCUGGGUGGCACAUAAACAACAGAAAUUUAUUUCUCCCAGCUCUGAGUGCCAGCAGAUUCCAUGUCUGGUGAGGUCCCACUCACUCAUAGACCGUGCCUCCUCACUGGGUCCUCACAUGGUGGAAGGGACUAGCCAGCUCUCUGGUGUCUUUUUGUUUGUUUGUUUGUUUUUAUAGCAACAGCAGCCUAAGAAUGGGGUCUCCACUUUUAUGACCCAAUCACCUCCCAAAGGCCCCACCUCCUAGUGCCACCACCUUGGGGUUAGAAUUUCAACACAAAUUUUGGGGAGACAUAAACAUUUGUGCCAUAACAGACACCUAUAAGAGGUCUCCAGUGUGCUCUGGCAGGCUAGGGAAGGCUCCAGACGGGAAGCACUUGGGCUAGGUCAUUAAGAGUUAGCUGGGGUAGGUCAGGCAUGGUGGCUCACACCUAUAACCCCAAUGCUUUGGGAGGCCAAGGCAGGACAAUUACUUGAGUUCAGGAGUUGGAGCCCAGCCUGGGCAACAUAGCAAGACCUCGUCUCUACAAAAAAAUUAAAAAUUAGCCAAGUGUGAUGGCACAUGGCUGUAGUCCCAGAUAUUUGGGUGGCGGAGGCAGGAGGAUCACUUGAACCCAGGAAGUCAGGGCUGCAGUGAGCUGUGAUCCAACUACUCCAUCUUGGACAUCAAAGCAAGACCCCCAUCUCAAAAAAAUAAAAAGUUAGCUGGGUUGACUGGCUGGGAGAGGGAGAUGGGGUCAGGAGAAAGAGCAUGUACAAAGCUUGGAGGUGGAGAGAGCAAGAGCUGAUGAGGGAUUGGAGUUCCUUUGGAAAGGAAGAGAUUAAGCAAUGCAGAGAAAAGCCCACAGUGAGCGCUAGAAACCCAAAUAAGAGGAGGAAAAGCCGCCAGAAAGCCUCAAGAGAGGAGGCUGAGACAAGACGGACAGGAAGAAACAAGGAACCAGAGAGAGACAGAGACAGCGGCCAAAGGACAGAGAGAGAAGGAGAAAGAUCAAGAUGAAGACGGAGACUUGAAGGCCGACGAGAAGAAAGCAGGACAGCAGCAAGAGUGAGGGGACGCUGCGGGCGGGCAGGCGGGAGGGGGCGCCCAGGACUCUGAAAGCCGGGAAGGCGCGGGUGGUGGCAGCGGCUGAGGCUGGAAAAGCUCAUUUUGCUGGUAAUUUACUCUCCUGCUUUUGGGCCGCUCCGCCUGCCGCUGCCGCCCGCCCGGGCUGCCUGUUCCAAUAUUAGAUAUAAACAAGUAAACUGUGUAAUGGAUCACAUUAAGCAGGCCUUGCGUCUUGAGGCAGGAUUUAAUUUGCAUGGCAGAUUAGCUUGUCUUCCCAGCAAGGCACCCCGGGGCACCCCGAGCUGUAAUAGGAUCCCGCCUCUUAGAGCCCAUUAAGGCAAUUGAGAGAGCCUCCUAAUCUCCCUCCCUGCCCUGCACCAGAAUCCCCUCCUGCCGCACCCAGGAGGGACUUGUGAUAGCGGGACCCCCAUCUUCUGACCCUGUGUGGUGUCCCCAUCUCAGAUCCCACUUUGCCCUUAAAGCAGGAACCCCAAACCCCAUGGGUUACCCCAUUUCAACCUCCUGCCUCAGCAUCCAACGUCAGAGAACUUUCCCUCUGAGCAGGCUGACUCUGUUUCAGAGGACCCAACUGCCCUGAAUCCACUUUCCCCGUUCCUCCAAGUGUCCCCAGGCCCAUGAUCUGACCCCCACUUUCUCCAUUCUCUGCCUGGCUCCCCCAGGCCCCCCAGCAUCAGUGGGCUUCCUAGCUGAGGUCAGGGGUGAGAAUGUCUUCCAUCCGUUUCUCCAGUUUCUCAUUAACAGCCGUACAAGAUCAUUGUCGGGGUGGGAAUCAGAGCAAGACUCAGAACCUGCGUGGAGAUCAAUGUUCAAGUUACUAUUUGGUUUCAAAGUGGGGCUGAAGUGAGUGAUUAUAACAACCCUUUUUGUGGGGCGCUUUAAAGUUUAUGUGUUAUAUCUAUCUAUUAGGUCGUUAAUCCCAACCCUCAGAGGAACUCUUUUUAAAUCAGCCCCAGUGGGCCAGGCAUGGUGGCUCAUACCUAUAAUCCUAGCACUUUGGGAGGCCAAGACAGGAGGAUCACUUGAGACCAGGAGCUCAAGACCAGCCUGAGCAACAUAGGAAGACCCCAUCUCUACCAAAAAUACAAAAAUUAGCUGGGUAUAAUAGCACACUGCCUACCUACUCCAGAGGCUGAGGUGGGAGGAUCACUUGAAUCCAGGAGGUCAAAGCUGCAGUGAGUCACGAUCACUCCACUGCACUCCAGGCUGGGCAACAGUGCAAGACCCUGUCUAAAACACCCAAGGAAUUAAAAAAUAAAUCAGUUCCGUUGAAAAGAUGAGGAAACA